rnacentral:misc_RNA from 1 species
UAUGCGUGCAUGCAAUUCGUCUGCACAGAUGCGCACAAAAUCUCCCUCGCCGCCACAGGACACGAGAGGAGGCGCUGACGAAGCCGUAGACAGCGGGGUCAUCCCUCUGACCUUGGACCAUCUUCAGGGCAUUUUCCUUGUGGCUUGUCUUGGCUGGGGAGCCUCCGUGGCAGCCUUCCUCGGGGAGAUCCUGACGGGGACGAGGAGGAAGGGGAAGGGAGAGGAGGCCAUUGAGGGAUGAUCUGCCGAAGGUGACCGAGGGAAAUACAGGAAGGAAAAGGAACGCCCACCUAAGGACAACAUCGAGGUCGAUAGCGGAUUCCGUUCAGCGUAUUGAGUCUCCUUAUAUGUGUAGUCGAGUGCCUCUUUCUGGUUCACUCUAGAAACACUGAUUGGACAAAUGCACACACUGCGAACAGAACAACGAAUGGAGGUGCAAGAAUACACACGUAUAUGCCGAGGGCCUUUUCACUUUAUUGCUUCUUCAUGGCAUGAAUAUACAGUGAAAAGGCCUUCGGCAUAUUCGUGUGUUUUCUUGUACUUCCCUUCGUUGUUCUACUUGCAAUUUGUUCGACAUGAAUUCCACAACUGCACACACGUACGCAAGGAGGAAAUGCACAUACAAGCACACAUACACGCGUAUAUAUUCAAAUGUAUAGAUAUAUAUGUCUAUGUCGAGGAUUAUAAUGAUUCUACUCAUACAUUUACACAGAUACAUUAUAUGUUUCUUUGUCCUGUACAAGAAAUAUUCCGCUUAGUCAAGAAUAAAUAUAUGUGGAAAAUAAA